CUCCACCCGAGACUCAGUGAAAUUGAACUCGCUGUGAAGAUGCAGUGUACCCGCGGCAAGACGGAAAGACCCCGUGAACCUUUACUAUAGCUUGACACUGAACAUUGAGCCUUGAUGUGUAGGAUAGGUGGGAGGCUUUGAAGUGUGGACGCCAGUCUGCAUGGAGCCGACCUUGAAAUACCACCCUUUAAUGUUUGAUGUUCUAACGUGGGCCCCUUACCGGGGUUGCGGACAGUGUCUGGUGGGUAGUUUGACUGGGGCGGUCUCCUCCUAAAGAGUAACGGAGGAGCACGAAGGUUGGCUAAUCCUGGUCGGACAUCAGGAGGUUAGUGCAAUGGCAUAAGCCAGCUUGACUGCGAGCGUGACGGCGCGAGCAGGUGCGAAAGCAGGUCAUAGUGAUCCGGUGGUUCUGAAUGGAAGGGCCAUCGCUCAACGGAUAAAAGGUACUCCGGGGAUAACAGGCUGAUACCGCCCAAGAGUUCAUAUCGACGGCGGUGUUUGGCACCUCGAUGUCGGCUCAUCACAUCCUGGGGCUGAAGUAGGUCCCAAGGGUAUGGCUGUUCGCCAUUUAAAGUGGUACGCGAGCUGGGUUUAGAACGUCGUGAGACAGUUCGGUCCCUAUCUGCCGUGGGCGCUGGAGAACUGAGGGGGGCUGCUCCUAGUACGAGAGGACCGGAGUGGACGCAUCACUGGUGUUCGGGUUGUCAUGCCAAUGGCACUGCCCGGUAGCUAAAUGCGGAAGAGAUAAGUGCUGAAAGCAUCUAAGCACGAAACUUGCCCCGAGAUGAGUUCUCCCUGACUCCUUGAGAGUCCUGAAGGAACGUUGAAGACGACGACGUUGAUAGGCCGGGUGUGUAAGCGCAGCGAUGCGUUGAGCUAACCGGUACUAAUGAACCGUGAGGCUUAACCUU
rnacentral:rRNA from 1 species